GACGAACGCUGGCGGCGUGCUUAACACAUGCAAGUCGAACGGACAGGCCAUGCUCUUGUGGGGUGCUCGAGUGGCGAACGGGUGAGUAAAACGUGAGUAAAAUGCCCUUGUCAUUGGGAUAACUUCAGGAAAAUGGGGCUAAUACAAGAUAGGAGCUCCUGCUGCAUGGUGGGGGUUGGAAAGAUUCGGCGGUUGGGGCUGGACUGGCGGCUUAUCCGCUUGUUGGUGGGGUAGGGAAAUACCAAGCCUUUGACGGGUAGGCGGCCUGAGAGGGGGGACGGCCACCUUGGGCCUGAGAUACGGACCAGACGCCUACGUGAGGCAGCAGUGGAGAACAUUACACAAUGGGCGGAAGCCUGAUGCGGCAACGCCGCGUGCGUGAUAACGGCCUUCUGGUUGUAAACCGCUUUCGCCGGUGACGAGGCGUGAGUGACGGUAAUGGGUAAAGAAGCACCGGCUAACUACGUG
rnacentral:rRNA from 1 species